rnacentral:lncRNA from 1 species
ACCGUCUGCCCUAGGAGCUUCAGGCUGUAGCUCCAGGCACAGGAGAAACAGCAUCCUGCAGAGUACUAAACCAGCUGCCACAUCCGUGCAGGGUCAAAUCCCUACAAUAAAGGUGUCGUGUUGUAGAAAGAAGUCUUCUCAACGGAGGGUGGAGAGGCUGGAGCACCCCUUGGAGGAGCUGGAACAGGGGGGGCGUGGACUUCCUGCCUGUCUCGCUCCUGAAGAUGAGUUUCCAGCCAAAGCACGUGUCCAGAGGCUGCUGGCCAGCUUGAGGUCACACCUGCAGAUCUGCUUCUGGCAUUUGCUCCCAGGACCUGUACCAGCCCGGGAAGGAAACUGGAGCGCUCCCCUCUGGUUAGUGAGUCAGAGAGACUCAUCGCCUCCCAUCCCACCCAAGUGGCAAGAGCCUCUCUUGGGAACUUCAGAAAUCCUGCCACCUCCUAGAGCCUCCCAGGAUGGUGGUGGAAUCCCCGUUCCUGCUGAAUUCAGAAAGCCCCCGACUAUAAAAAAGCUGUGUGUUGCUGUGAUGCUGAAAGCUGUGCCACCGGGAUCUCAAAUGGCAGCAGGGUCGCCCAUGGUGGACAGGUUUCAGAGGACUUUCCAGACUAAGACAGACAAGGAAGAAGGACCUGGCCACCCACUUCCGAAAAAACUGGCCAUGAAGACCCUGUGAAUAACAGUGGAGCUUGUCUGCUACAGAGCCGGAAGUUAUGUGCUCGAGACUCAGAUAGGAUCUGAUUCAUCAGAGGAUACCGGACCUCUCACCCAGGACCCCAAGUGUGCACCGUUGAAGCCCUUGUCUUCACCUCCGACUGCCUGAUCGGGGAUCUGUUGCUGUAGGCCAGAAUCCUUCAUGGUGGUAUUGCUUAAACAACUUCGAGCCCAGACCACUCGACUGAGUAAGGAUUUCCAGAAUUAAUGGAGAAGCUGAUGGGUUCAUAAAACUGCUAACCCAAGGUCAAGCAGAACAAGAAUUAAUUAAAUGGGACUGAAUGAACUGAUGAAGAGUGAUUAUGGUUUUAAUCUGGAACAUUCCUGGUUCUUUAAUGUUCUAUUUUUCAGAUAUAAGGAACCUCUUUCCUUUGUCUCUUAAUGUAUCUAUGCUUAUAACAAUUUAGUAAAUUCUAUUUUUGUAAACAUAAAGGAAACAUUUAUGUUUUCUCCUUACCUGAUCCCUCC